rnacentral:rRNA from 1 species
UACAGAGGUCUCAACCGUUGUUCGGAUUCAUUGGGCGUAAAGGGUGCGUAGGCGGUCGGGUAAGUCGGAUGUGAAAUCCCAGGGCUUAACCCUCGGAACUGCAUUCGAUACUGCCUGGCUAGGGUACUGGAGAGGAGACUGGAAUUUACGGUGUAGCAGUGAAAUGCGUAGAUAUCGUAAGGAAGACCAGUGGCGAAGGCGAGUCUCUGGACAGUUACCGACGCUGAGGCACGAAGGUCAGGGGAGCAAACGGG